UGUUCUCAGUUUGUUCUGCUGCUAUAGAAAUCCACACCAAUAAAUAAGUAUUGAGCGAAUGCUUUCAAUUUAAAAUUUUAAACACAAUAGGCUGAUGUUUCAUCCCAAUGAAUAUAGAUUUUUCUUGAGAGUUUGUUGCUCCUUGAUAGUUUCAUCUAAGAAUUUGACCUCCUUUCACAUCUAUUCUUGAGUCAGAUUGAAAAAGUCAGGAUGUAAGCCAAAUUAUUGGUAUAAUCAAGGUUUAUCCAACACCCUCAACUGUGCAGAAUAUCAUCUAAAGCAUGGGGAUGAUAACAAACUCAAAAGGUAUAGAACAUUGCUGUAGUCAUUGUCAACUUUUCUUAACUUCUUUAAUUAAAACCAGAUAUUCAUAUCCUUUUCUGCAGCAAGAUCUUUUUAAUUCCUUGAACAUGUAAAUUGUCAAGGUCUUGAUAGACUCUGACCACAAGAAGAGAAAUGCAAUGUGGAGCAGUAUAUCUCAGUCAAGUACCGUCAAUACGUUAGAACUGUUGUUGGAGGAAAGAUAGAUUUCUCUACUCUUUGCAUUCAACAAGAUAGCUCAGGGGCUGCAUCACCUGACAUGCUAAAGUUGGCUAGGAUAGUUUUGGAGAGAUCUCUACGAUCUUCUCUGGAAACAAUAUUCCUGAUUUGGAUAACACCCAGUUAAAGCCAUCAAGGUUGCUUGAACCUCGUUUCCAGGGAGUUUCAUCUUAAUACCUGAAAUCCAAGCUCAAAACAAAAUUUUGACGCACUGUGGAUUACCUGAUUAUAAGUAUCAUGUCCUCUUUAAGCAGAAGUACAAGUCUGCAAUGAUAUUAGUUGCGGAGAAUGAUCCUUUCUUCAAACACAUGUAAAGAGACUGCCAAUAGUCAAGAAAAGUAAUUAGUUUGCGAGCCACAAGGAAACAAAAGUUGUCGCGGCACCGGAGACUUGGUUGGAUUUGAGGAUCAUUCAGUACUGAGUAGCAGCAGCUCCUUCAAGUACGCUUAGAUUGCUUCAGUAGCAGAUAUGAAUGUCUGCAAACCAGGAGGUUCUGAAUUUGGUUAACUAAUAACCAGCUGUUGACAAAUAAUAUUUCUUUUAAACAUAUUAUAGAUGAAAUUAUGCUAAAAACAACUAACCAUUGUAAUUUCUGGGAUUAUUUAACUUGAUUCAAUUGAUUUGCUUACGAAUUCAAAUGUCAAGGAACCUUUGAAAAUUACAAUCUAACACUAUUCAACAUUUGCUAGCUUGGAUACUCGAACUUUUUCCAUACCUUCAUUCAAUCAUGUAAUGAGAAGAGACAUACACUAAAUUAAUGUCAAGUUGAACAUUAAAAUAAGUUUUUUCUUGUGAAUUUGUCUCUAUGUAAGGUCUUGUCCUCAAGGCAUCUUCAAAGGCAUAACUUAAUGCGUCUACUUUUCUUCUGCGAUAGAGUCUAAAUGGCCUUAAGGACUAAGAGCAAGAGUACUUCAUCUUGCCUCUGAAAUUUUCCAUGGUCUAAUAUAAUUGCCUCCACUAGAAAUGCACCUUCCUUGAAAUUGCUAAGGAAGCAAGCUUCUCUUCUUCGUCAAGCAAAGAUUCCAACUGGCUUGACUCAAAGCCAACUAGCCAAGUCCCCUCUAGAAUAUUAAGUCUACCUUGUUAAGCAGGUCCUUAAAUGGUCGCUUUCACUUAAGAAUUCAAACCCCCCCUCCCCCAAAACCAACCAACCCAAAAAGUUAAAAAAAUGAUUCAUGACUCAGAUUGAUAGAAGUCAGGACGUAAGCCAAACGUUGGUAUAAUCAAGGUUUAUUCCUGAUUCUCAAGCCACCCAUUAAUCAGAUUACAUCAGCCAAUCCUGCAUAAGGUCCUCUUAACCAUGGUUAGAAUAACAAAUCAAAACCAUGGUUUCAUGGUUUCAAGUUUUAGAGGAUUGCUAUUGUCAUUGUCAGUGUGCUUUUCUUCAUAGUGACUUGUUUUUUAAUUUCAUUAAUAAUUAGCACCACACCUUCAGAUCCAACUCUGCAACAAGAAAUGUUUUGUUCAGUUUGGCCGGGUCUUCCCUUCACACCUGCUUCAUUUUCUUCCACCAAAUUUCCCAUCUCUCGCCAUUUCUAGAAGUCAACUUUUUGUUUCUUGAAUUCUCAUCUACAUGUUCAGUCUGUUAUCAGAGAUUUUCACAACCUUGGCUUUUGCCCCCCCUCCCAUCAUCUCUUCUAUCUAUUUAUUCGUUUCUUAAAAUUUCUUGAUAUAGAACAGCAAGACAGGUCUGCAAGAAUAACAUAAUUUUAGACAAUAAAUUCCAUGGGGACCAACACCAAAGAAGAGAAUGUCUCACGUGCAGGAUCAAAGGUAAGCUACUUUAGCUCGAUAAAAUGUUGACUGCUUAACAAUUCUUAGAGAAUCUAAUUGAACUGCUAAAAAAAUUCUAGGCCGUGAUGGAAGGUCAACACAAAAAAUCCCUUUUUGCAUCUAUAGCCAAGCCUCCGACAGAUAGUGGCAGACCAAGCAGUAUGGUUGUGAAGGUAAAAUUUCUCUGCGGACAUUCUCUACAAUGUUUUCUAUGUGAAUAUGUAAGAAUCUGAUUAAAGUUCUGAUCUUUUUUACUAAAUUGGGGACUAAACAGAAAGCACAUACCGUGAUUCCUGCGCAUAUUGUAGCAGAAGCCAUAUCAACAAUCCGAGGUCUUGACCUCAGAUGGUCAGGUCCGAUAACUCCAUCAGAAAUGCAAUAUGUUGAACAGUAUGUGUUGGCAAAGUAUCCCCAAUAUGCUGGUCUUGUUGUUGGAGAAAAGAUAGAUCUCUCUACUCUUUGUAUCAAUGAAGAGGCUUCAGAAACUGCAACUGAUGACAAGAGAAAAUCGCCCAGGAGUAGUUUCAGAGAGGCCUCCUCACCAUCAAACGGAGGCAAUCUCCCAGAUUUGGACAGAACCCAGUUGGAGCCAUCAAGGCUUCUUGAUAUCCUCACCAAGAAAUCCUCAUUUCCAGGGAGCUUCAUCUCAAUACCUGAAAUCCAAGCUCAAAACAAAGUUUUAAAGCACUGUGGAUUACCUGAUGAUGAGUAUCUUGUGCUCUUCACUCCAAACUACAAGGACGCAAUG
rnacentral:lncRNA from 1 species